rnacentral:rRNA from 1 species
ANUNNGGCNGCUACCAUGCAAGUCGAGGGGUAACAGGGAUUGCUUGCAAUCCGCUGACGACCGGCGCACGGGUGCGUAACGCGUAUACAAUCUACCUUGUACUAGGGGAUAGCCUUUAGAAAUGAAGAUUAAUACCCUAUAGUCUAUUUGAAUGGCAUCGUUUAAAUAGUAAAGGUUACGGUACAAGAUGAGUAUGCGUCCUAUUAGUUAGUUGGUGUGGUAACGGCACACCAAGACUACGAUAGGUAGGGGCCCUGAGAGGGGGAUCCCCCACACUGGUACUGAGACACGGACCAGACUCCUACGGGAGGCAGCAGUGAGGAAUAUUGGACAAUGGGCGAGAGCCUGAUCCAGCCAUGCCGCGUGCAGGAAGACGGCCCUAUGGGUUGUAAACUGCUUUUAUACAGGAAGAAACACUCCCUCGUGAGGGAGCUUGACGGUACUGUAAGAAUAAGGACCGGCUAACUCCGUGCCAGCAGCCGCGGUAAUACGGAGGGUCCGAGCGUUAUCCGGAAUCAUUGGGUUUAAAGGGUCCGUAGGCGGGCAGCUCAGUCAGUGGUGAAAGUUUGCAGCUCAACUGUAAAAUUGCCAUUGAUACUGGUUGUCUUGAAUUAAUGUGAAGUGGUUAGAAUAUGUAGUGUAGCGGUGAAAUGCAUAGAUAUUACAUGGAAUACCAAUUGCGAAGGCAGAUCACUAACAUUAUAUUGACGCUGAUGGACGAAAGCGUGGGGAGCGAACAGGAUUAGAUACCCUGGUAGUCCACGCCGUAAACGAUGGAUACUAGCUGUUCGAUCUUCGGAUUGAGUGGCUAAGCGAAAGUGAUAAGUAUCCCACCUGGGGAGUACGUUCGCAAGAAUGAAACUCAA